GCACAAGCGGUGGAUGAUGUGGAUUAAUUCGAUGCAACGCGAAAAACCUUACCUACCCUUGACAUGUCCGGAAUCCUGAUGAGAGUUGGGAGUGCCCGAAAGGGAGCCGGAACACAGGUGCUGCAUGGCUGUCGUCAGCUCGUGUCGUGAGAUGUUGGGUUAAGUCCCGCAACGAGCGCAACCCUUGUCAUUAAUUGCCAUCAUUUAGUUGGGCACUUUAAUGAGACUGCCGGUGACAAACCGGAGGAAGGUGGGGAUGACGUCAAGUCCUCAUGGCCCUUAUGGGUAGGGCUUCACACGUCAUACAAUGGUCGGUACAGAGGGUUGCCAACCCGCGAGGGGGAGCCAAUCCCACAAAGCCGAUCGUAGUCCGGAUUGGAGUCUGCAACUCGACUCCAUGAAGUCGGAAUCGCUAGUAAUCGUGGAUCAGCAUGUCACGGUGAAUACGUUCCCGGGUCUUGUACACACCG
rnacentral:rRNA from 1 species